rnacentral:rRNA from 1 species
UACGAAGGGGGCUAGCGUUGCUCGGAAUCACUGGGCGUAAAGGGUGCGUAGGCGGGUCUUUAAGUCAGGGGUGAAAUCCUGGAGCUCAACUCCAGAACUGCCCUUGAUACUGGGAAUCUCGAGUCCGGGAGAGGUGAGUGGAACUGCGAGUGUAGAGGUGAAAUUCGUAGAUAUUCGCAAGAACACCAGUGGCGAAGGCGGCUCACUGGCCCGGUACUGACGCUGAGGUGCGAAAGCGUGGGGAGCAAACAGG